rnacentral:sRNA from 1 species
GGAUGCUAACGCAAUGUGAUUUC